ACAGGAGGAAGCACAAAACAAGAUAGCGUCUGGCGGAGAUUACGUUGUUUUGGUUAUUAUGGUUUCUAGGUCUUAAUUACAACGUACAUGUGCACAUUUGUGUCGUUUAACAGAGUAAACGUCGUUAUUAAUUGUUUGUAUGCGGAUACAUUAGUCUGAGUGCACUUUGACGUGCUAGCCUAGCCUGCUGGUUAGCUUAGCUUGUUAGCUGCUAACAAAGAGAGGCGGAAGUGAUCGACACAUCAAAGCAGAGAUCCAAUACGUCUGUGAAGAACAUCUUCACCCUUAGCAACAGAAGUGGAGCUUCAGUAUGCAGACGGAGGAAACACAGCCCUCCCACAUUAAGAUGGAAGAGGAAUACACACUGAUCCCCCAUUUUAAAAAGGAAGAGGAGGACCCACUGACACCCCUUUUUAAAGAGAAAUCAGUGGACCCACUGAGUCCUCACAUUAAAGAGGAAGAGGAGGAACACCGCAUCAGUCAAGAAUGGUUGGAGGAGUUCCAUUUGAUUGUGAAGAGUGAAGAUGAUGAGGUGAAAGGUGAAAGUGAGGAGAGGGGAGGGGGGGAGCCUCCAAGCAGCAGCUCAACACAACACAUGACAACAGAAGCUGAUGGAGACCACUGUGGAGGAUCACAAGCAGACAAGCUCUUAGCUCCACUAUCAGAUAGUGAGGACACAACGUCACACUCUCCUGACACUGAUGAUGAAGACUCUAAAGAUGAUAAGACAUGUCACACUGACAACACUCACUUCACAUCUUCUCUCUGUCACAAAACUUUUAAAUACCAAAGUCGUCUGAAAACCCACAUGAGAACACACACUGGAGAAAAAGCCUUUUCAUGCUCAAUCUGUGGUAAAGGUUUUACUCGAGGGCACUCUUUGAAAAGACACAUGAGAACACACACUGGAGAAAAACCUUUUUCCUGCUCAGAAUGUGGUAAAUAUUUUACUCUAAGGAUCAAUUUGAAAGUACACAUGAGAAUACACACUGGAGAAAAACCUUUUUCCUGCUCAGAAUGUGGUAAAAGUUUCAUAACAAAUCAUACCUUAAAAGAACACAUGGGAACACACAAUGGAGAAAGACCUUUUUUAUGUUCAAUCUGUGGUAAAUAUUUUACUUGAAGGCACUAUUUAAAAACACACAUGAGUACACACACUGGAGAAAAACCUUACAAAUGUUCAGUAUGUUGUAAAAGUUUUAUACAAACUACGUAUUUGAAAAGACACAUGAGAACACACACAAGUGAGAAAGUGUUGAGUUGCAGUGUGUGUGGUGAAAGAUUGUCUUCUAAGUAGCAGUGUAAGAAACACAAGUGUGCUGGUGAGAACAGCAGCAGCAAAUGAAACUGCAGGAUUUGAAAUAAACUGUCAAAACUUUAACUUUGACCUUCUAACAACAUCAGCACAUAGAUGCUAACAUUAAUAGAUUUGAUAUAUCAGUUAAUUGCUAUUUUCAGUCAAGUACAUGUUUAAUAUACAACAUGGUGUACUUUUAUUUAAAAAUGAACACAACACUUUGACUGCAAAGGUGAGAAUAAACAGGACAAAUCCUGUUAGAAAUACUUGUGUAUAGAUAUAUUCAGAUAUCAUUUUUAAUUAUUAAUGAUGUUAUAGAUGAACUCCUUUAUAUGAUGUACAUAUUUGUUUUACAUGUGUUCAUACCUUUGCUUUUGAGUACACAUAAAUCCCUCUUAGUUCAUAUUUACUGAUUCGCAUCUCAAACAUCUUCUGGACCACUUCUGGAAGCAUAUUAUUAUUUACUUUAUACAUCAUUUCAGCAGUUGUCUUUUAUACAAGAUCAUUUACUUUUAAAAUGUGUGACUUUAUGAAUCAUUUGUUGGGUCUCAAUAAUCCAUUGUUUUAAUUAAUUUGUAUUACUCUCUUUUGU